rnacentral:rRNA from 1 species
GACGAACGCUGGCGGCGUGCUUAACACAUGCAAGUCGAACGGAAAGGCCCUGCUUUUGUGGGGUGCUCGAGUGGCGAACGGGUGAGUAACACGUGAGUAACCUGCCCUUGACUUUGGGAUAACUUCAGGAAACUGGGGCUAAUACCGGAUAGGAGCUCCUGCUGCAUGGUGGGGGUUGGAAAGUUUCGGCGGUUGGGGAUGGACUCGGGGCUUAUCAGCUUGUUGGUGGGGUAGUGGCUUACCAAGGCUUUGACGGGUAGCCGGCCUGAGAGGGUGAACGGCCACAUUGGGACUGAGAGACGGACCAGACUCCUACGGGAGGCAGCAGGGGGGAAUAUUGCACAAUGGGCGGAAGCCUGAUGCAGCAACGCCGCGUGCGGGAUGACGGCCUUCGGGUUGUAAACCGCUUUCGCCUGUGACGAAGCGUGAGUGACGGUAAUGGGUAAAGAAGCACCGGCUAACUACGUG